GUGGGGAAUAUUGCGCAAUGGGGGAAACCCUGACGCAGCAACGCCGCGUGAGUGAUGAAGGUCCUCGGAUCGUAAAGCUCUGUCGGCAGGAAAGAAGGCAUGUAGGUCGAAUACACCGACAUGUUGACGGUACCUGCAAAGGAAGCACCGGCUAACUCUGUGCCAGCAGCCGCGGUAAUACAGAGGGUGCAAGCGUUGUUCGGAAUUAUUGGGCGUAAAGGGCGCGUAGGCGGUUGGUCAAGUCGGAUGUGAAAGCCCAGGGCUCAACCUUGGAAGUGCAUUCGAAACUGGUCAACUAGAGUUCACGGAGAGGGUGGUGGAAUUCCCAGUGUAGAGGUGAAAUUCGUAGAUAUUGGGAGGAACACCAGUGGCGAAGGCGACCACCUGGACGGAAACUGACGCUGAGGCGCGAGAGCGUGGGUAGCAAACAGG
rnacentral:rRNA from 1 species